rfam:Syntrophomonas wolfei subsp. wolfei str. Goettingen, complete genome.
GGUCAAGAUAAAAAGAGCGUAUGGUGGAUGCCUAGGCGCCAGGAGGCGAAGAAGGACGCGGCAAGCGGCGAAACGCCACGGGGAGCUGCAAGCGAGCAUAGAUCCGUGGAUAUCCGAAUGGGGGAACCCGGCAGAGGCGAACCUCUGUCACCCUUACCUGAACACAUAGGGUAAGAGGAGCGAGACCCGGUGAACUGAAACAUCUUAGUAACCGGAGGAAGAGAAAUCAAGCGAGAUUUCCUAAGUAGCGGCGAGCGAAAGGGAAAGAGCCCAAACCAUGCAGGUGUAAAGGCUGCAGCCGUUGCCUGUAUGGGGUUGAGGGGUCUGCAGGACCAUACUGCAGUAUGGUCACAGAGUAAGAAAAUAUAUGUUUAGCUGAAUAAGCUGGAAAGCUCAGCCACAGAAGGUGAAAGCCCCGUAAGCGAAAAGCAUAUAUCUCUGAGCAGAGACCCCGAGUACCGCCGGACACGUGGAACCCGGUGGGAAGCAGGGAGGACCACCUUCCAAGGCUAAAUACUACCUGGCGACCGAUAGAGAAGAGUACCGUGAGGGAAAGGUGAAAAGCACCCCGGGAGGGGAGUGAAAAGAACCUGAAACCGUAUGCUUACAAACAGUAGGAGCACUAUUGGGAAGUGAGAAGUGGGAAGUUAGAAGUGAGAAAAGGGAAGAAAUCGGCACAGCCGAUUUCAUCACAAAAUCCCACCUCCCGCCUCUCACCUCUCACUUCCCAAGUGUGACUGCGUACCUUUUGUAGAAUGGGCCAGCGAGUUACUGUAUUAAGCAAGGUUAAGUUCAAGAAGGAUGGAGCCGCAGCGAAAGCGAGUCUUAAUAGGGCUAUAUAGUUUAAUGCAGUAGACCCGAAACCGGGUGAUCUAUCCAUGGCCAGGGUGAAGCGAUGGUAACACAUCGUGGAGGCCCGAACCAGAGUGCGUUGAAAAGUACGUGGAUGAGUUGUGGAUAGGGGUGAAAUGCCAAUCGAACCCGGAGAUAGCUGGUUCUCCCCGAAAUAGCUUUAGGGCUAGCGUCAGGAAAAGAGCCUUGAGGGGGUAGAGCACUGGUUAGGCUAGGGGCCUUACACGGUUACCGAACCUUCCCAAACUCCGAAUACCACAAGGUGCUACCUGGCAGUCAGACUGUGGGUGAAAAGGUCCAUAGUCGAGAGGGAAACAGCCCAGACCAACAGCUAAGGUCCCCAAAUCUAUGCUAAGUGGGAAAGGAUGUAGAGCUGCACAGACAGCCAGGAUGUUGGCUUAGAAGCAGCCACCAUUGAAAGAGUGCGUAAUAGCUCACUGGUCAAGUGGCUCUGCGCCGAAAAUGUAACGGGGCUAAGCAUAGUACCGAAGCUUUGGCAGCGCGCGUAGCGCGCUGGGUAGGGGAGCAUUCCUAAUGGGCAGAAGCUGUACCGAAAGGAGCAGUGGACUGUUAGGAAGAGAGAAUGCUGGCAUGAGUAAGCGAGAAGGCAGGUGAGAAUCCUGCCCGCCGUAAACCUGAGGUUUCCUGGGGAAGGCUCGUCCGCCCAGGGUAAGCCGGGACCUAAGCCGAGGCCGCAAGGCGUAGGCGAUGGACAACUGGUUGAGAAUCCAGUGCCACCUGAAGCCGCUAUAAGCGAUGGGGUGACGCAGGAGGAUAGGUGAAGCGCACGGAUGGAAGAGUGCGUCCAAGCACGUAGGGUAAUGGGCAGGCAAAUCCGCCCAUUGAAAAGCCUGAGGUGUGAUGGGGAGUGAAAUAUAGUAGCGAAGUCACUGAGUCCAAACUGCCAAGAAAAGCCUCUAGCAAGGUAACAGGUGCCCGUACCGAAAACCGACACAGGUAGGUGAGGAGAGAAUCCUAAGGCGCGCGAGAGAACCCUCGUUAAGGAACUCGGCAAAAUGACCCCGUAACUUAGGGAGAAGGGGUGCUCUAUUAGCGUGAGUAUGUUUAACAUAUAUGAGCGUGAGAGAGCCGCAGUGAUCAGGCCCAGGCGACUGUUUAACAAAAACACAGGUCUCUGCCAAAUCGAAAGAUGAAGUAUAGAGGCUGACGCCUGCCCGGUGCCGGAAGGUUAAGAGGAAGUGUUAGCGCAAGCAAAGCACUGAGCCGAAGCCCCGGUGAACGGCGGCCGUAACUAUAACGGUCCUAAGGUAGCGAAAUUCCUUGUCUGGUAAGUUCAGACCCGCACGAAAGGCGUAACGAUCUGGGCACUGUCUCGACGAGGGGCUCGGUGAAAUUGUAAUACCGGUGAAGAUGCCGGUUACCUGCGAUAGGACAGAAAGACCCCGUGGAGCUUUACUGCAGCUUGAUAUUGAAUUUUGGUAGUUGAUGUACAGGAUAGGUGGGAGACUAAGAAGUGAGGUCGCCAGGUCUCAUGGAGUCAACGGUGGGAUACCACUCUUUAAUUGCUGGGAUUCUAACCUGGGCCCGUAAUCCGGGUCAGGGACAGUGUCUGGCGGGCAGUUUGACUGGGGCGGUCGCCUCCCAAAGAGUAACGGAGGCGCCCGAAGGUUUCCUCAGCGCGGAUGGAAAUCGCGCGAAGAGUGUAAAGGCAUAAGGGAGCUUGACUGUGAGAGAGACAUCUCGAGCAGGGACGAAAGUCGGGCUUAGUGAUCCGGCGGUACCGAGUGGAAGGGCCGUCGCUCAUCGGAUAAAAGCUACCCCGGGGAUAACAGGCUUAUCUCCCCCAAGAGUUCACAUCGACGGGGAGGUUUGGCACCUCGAUGUCGGCUCAUCACAUCCUGGGGCUGGAGAAGGUCCCAAGGGUUGGGCUGUUCGCCCAUUAAAGUGGUACGUGAGCUGGGUUCAGAACGUCGUGAGACAGUUCGGUCCCUAUCCAUCGCAGGCGCAGGAGAAUUGAGAGGAUCUGUCCCUAGUACGAGAGGACCGGGAUGGACAGACCGCUGGUGUACCAGUUGUCUCGCCAGAGGCAUCGCUGGGUAGCUAUGUCUGGGACGGAUAAGCGCUGAAAGCAUCUAAGCGCGAAGCCAACCUCAAGAUGAGUUCUCCCACUCCGAGAGGAGGUAAGAUCCCAUCAAGAACAGGUGGUUGAUAGGCCGGGUGUGUAAGUGUAGUGAUGCAUUAAGCUGACCGGUACUAAUAGAUCGAGGUCUUGACCUU